ACAAAAGCCUCUCAGACUUAUAGUGGGAGAGAGACCUGCAAUCAACAACUACUCCUGUGGAGUUCCCGCUGUGGCUUACCGGGAUCUGCAGUGUGGAAAGUGCUGGGAUACAGGUUUGAUCCCUGGCCUAGCACAGUGGGUUAAGGAUCCAGUAUUGCUGUAGCUUCGGCUUUGAUCUCAACUGUGGCUUGGAUCUGAUCCCUGACCCAGGAACUCUCUAUGCUGCAGGGCAGCCAGAAAUGGAAAAAAUACAAAGCAAAACAAACAACUACACAUGUAAUAGGGAGUUCCCGGAUAGCCUAGUGGUUAAGGUUUCAACAUUGUCGCUGCUGUGGCUUGGGUUGCUGCAAUGGCUGAGGUCUGAUCCCUGGCCAAAGAACUUCAGCAUGCUGUAGGUGUGGCCAAGAAAACCCCCCACACAACUACACGUGUAAUGGGAGGUGAGGAGGCAUCUUUCUGGAGAUUAAUUGGGGAAGUGUGAGAGAGAGCCAACUGCAGGCCAAAGGACAGUGGUAGGUAAAGAGGCAGAGAUGUGUGAGAGCAGGCAGCACUUCAGCUCUGCUAUGAAGUGGUCCUGGAAGGAAGGAAGGCAUCAAGUUAUGAAAGCUACCAUACAUUGUAAUUAAGAUUCUGGAUUUAGUCCUGGAGCUGAUUGGGAGGCAUGAACAGAUGUUAAGUAGAGAAGUGACAUGAUUAAAUUUUCAUUUAAGGAAAAUCAGUCUAGUGUGAACUGCUAGGUAGGGCGUGCUGGCUGAAGACAGGAGGACCAAUCAGAAGGCGGCUGCAUUUAUUUAUGUAAGAUGUGGCAAGGGCCUGCAUCAGAAAUUCCACACGUGCAGAUGGAGCAAGAAAAUGAAUAAUGCUUUUAGGAGACAAACAUCGAAGGAAAAGCAAUUCUUUGGAUGAAGGAAGAAUUUUCAGAGUCAGGAGUUAGAGAGAUUAUACAUGUGCCCUAAACAGCACAAUGGCAAAUAGACCUAUCAGAGAAUUCUGCAAUUCCCAGAGAAGAGAAUUCAACCUCCGGAUUGAAAUGAUCAGCUGGCCAUACCACCCUCCUUGCCCCCAUUCCCUUGGACCUGCCUUUCAGUAAUCCGAACUCCCUAAUCUGCCCUGUGGACUCCCCAGUGACCUGGCACUUGGCACAUCUUUCUUCCAGAAUCAGCUCAGACACUGGUUGCUCUCUGACAAAGAGCCAAUCCCAUCAUCACUCCACAGUCCAGGUUCUACAUUUAUAAACUGUAACAAUAGUGACACUGCUUCCUGGGGUUUCAGUAAGGACAUGAGACAGUGUCUGUGAAAGUACCUGAUAGAUGUCUAUACAGCACCAUGCAAAUGUGAGGCGCUGCUGAUGGAAGCCAAAUAAGGCAGGAAGGCAGGAGGAGAGAGGGGGAAGUGGAUGGAUCAGCGUCUGGAGCUGGUCACUAUGCACAGAAUGAAGUACAGACCGUGUCUGUAAUCCAACAGUAAGAUUCAAGCACUGAAGACAGAGUAGAGUGUUCUGGAAAGCAUGUGGGCUUUGGAUUUGGCCAGGCUUGGGUUCAAACCCUAUCUUCACCUCUGACUAGCUCUGUGGCUUUGAGCAAAUUACCUAACCUCUCUGAGCCCUCGUUACUUUAUCUAUAGUAUAAAGAUAAUAUCCCCUCCCUUACAGUGUUUUUAUGAGAAUUAAAUGAGUUAACACUUAGAAGCUGGGUAGUACAUAGCUACCUGACAUUUGAAAAUGUUGGUUUCCUUCUUUCUUUCUUCCUGAGAAGUGAUAUAGUUUCAAAAGAAGCUUUUAUGAGAGCUGCUUUCAGAAAGGAAAAUACGCUGGCCUGAAUUUUCAUCCUCUCCCUUUUAGUGCCAGGAGUGGUUAACUAUCAAACAGUGAAAUCUCCAGAUGGCCCAAGGGCCUAGAUUAUUCAGAAACAUGUGAACGGCUGAUGAGAGCACAGCGUGAGUCAAAAGAAUAAUGGACUCCAGUAAAUCAAGUGUCUUCAUGUGUUUCUUAAAAUACAUAUGUGUAAACCCCAAAUCUCAGUGAUUUCUGGCAUGGUUGUUAUCUGUAACAUUUGUUCGUUGUUCCAUAGAAGAUCUGGCAAAGUUAGCUUUUGGAAGGGGUUUGGUCAAAUCUCUUGAGUCCUCAGGACCCCAGACAGUCUGCCAAAGUGAUGGGAUGUAAAUAAUUCUCCAUAAUGUUAGUAGUGCAUUCACUACUUAAAAUACGCAAGUAUUAGGUAUUAAAUGAACCAUGCUGCAUCUUAAAGUGAAGCUGUGUUUUGUGCUGUAGAGGAGGUUUUUACUCAAUUCUACAAAUCGCUAAAGAUGGGGGAUUAAUAGCAAGUGAGAAAUUGCUUUUAUUCCUCUUACUUGAAUAGCACUGCAUUCUGCACAUUAAGGCUUCAACGUAGAGGACUUGAGAUGCAGAAAGAGAACCCCUAGAGGUACAGAGAGGAGAAGGGAAAGGAGGAGAGAUGGAAGGCAAGGCGAGGGAAUGGAGAAAGUUGCUUUCUUCAUGGUCCAGUUCCCAGCCUGGUUCUCUUCUGGUGGUAAUUGGGCAGUAGAGGAGAGAAGACAGACAAAAAGGGGGACAAAGAAGAAAGGGGAAGGAAGGUUAGAAAAGAACAGGAGAAAUCUGGAAGGCAGAAAAAAGAAAUGUAGUAGACCAUUAGGAAGCAUGCGUGUCAAAUUGAUGCUAGACUCACAGUGAAGCUUAAUAAGCUUCAGAAACGUUUUGACCCCCGUGUGUGCCAGACGCUGUGCUAGGAGCUAGGAAUACAGAUGGAGACGUGGUCAUCAUUGCUGAGGCGCUCACAGGAAAGAAUCGAGGUUGGGAAGAAGCCAAGAGAAGGCCAGGGGAACUUGGCAUUGCACCGACUAUGAGGAGGCUCAAAAGGGGUCAAGUGCUUUCUCCCGAAGCACUUUUGGUGAUGAAUUCCCUUUCAUCUAAUGUGGUUUUCUAUUGACAUUAGCUUUCAGACUUUUCCCAAAAAGUACCUAAGCAUACCGCUUAGCAGAGAGGCUGGGCGAGAAGAGGGGGAGCUGAGACUGCAUCUCAGCUAGUUUCAUUCCCCUGUCCAAACAGAUGUUGUCUGGCGAGAGCAGCACAGCGUCAAACAUGACUACUGGAUUUGGCAUAAAAUGGACCAAUUAACCUUUGUUGAUUGAGUCCUGUAAAAGUAACAGGGCUGCACUUCCACUGGAUGCUGUUUAAAGAAGGACAGUGUCAGCCAAAUGGCUCAUCACCUGUCAUGGCCGUCAGCAUAUUCCCGGCAGCUGCACAGCCUCACGCCACCCGAGACUCACUGUCCCCUCUCUCGGCCUGGAGCCCUGAAGGCUUGUGCUGGGCUCUUAAUAGGCUUCAGACAUGAAAUUCAAGAUGAACCUGACUCAGCUGCUCCAAGAGUGUCUGCCUCGGGUCUGGAAUAAUAAGAAUAAAAGUUCAAUUUCCUCCUCCUCCUGCCGCAUCACUUACCAAACUUUGGGAAUCUCUCUUUCACUUUGGAUCACUCAAAAAAGUACCUUUCCACUUAUUCAGCACCCUCUCUUUACGCUGGUGACAGGCGCAGGGCUUCCACAUUCUGUAGACCUAGGGCCGUGGUUCUCUAACGUUCCUGAGAAAUUUCCAGAAAGCUAGUUAAAAACUCAGGCAGGUGGGCCCCGCCACUUAGGAUUCUCAUUAAAUAAAUUUGGAAGAGUGUAGCCUGAAAAUCAACGGGUUGGCUCCACCCCACUCCGCCCCCCCAGGUGAUUCUGACACAGACGGUGGAUGAGCAAAGCCCUCCCUGGAAACACGAGAGCACGGCUGGCAUGUACAGCUCAGGAGAGAGCUGGGUGGGGACUUGAUACCCGCAUCCUGCCUUUCUCCUGGCUUAUCUGACCCGUCUCUCUGCAUUGGCUCCUUUUCCUGUACCCAGGAGGAUCCCAGGGUUUUAUUCUCUGUCCAUUUAUUUUAUUCUAUACACCCUCCAUGACCGGAAUGAUUGGAAGCACCUAUAUAGUUUUAAGAUGUUGCUUAAAAGCUCCAGACAGAUAUGUCCACCUGGAAAUAUCCCACAAGUACCUCAGCUUAACAUGCUCAGGACCUAAAUCAUGAGUUUUAAUCCUAGGUAGGAUGAAUAGGCACACCCCAUCCCCAAUUCUCUCACUGAAUGGAGCUCUAAAACCUGGAUCAGCUAUUUGAGGACUUGGAAAAGUAGCAGGUAGACUGGGAGAGAAGACUAGAGUUCAGAAUAUGGACCACUGAACUGGUGGUGCAUUUCCCAUCUUUCCUCCUGGGCCCCCCAACCUGGAUGCAAGAUACAGCCUGAAACCUAGAAGUGGGAACCAGAUGAACGGAAGCUUGCACCUUGGCCCUGGCAUGGAGAUUGGAAAGGGACCUCCUGGGAGAACAUCCACGGUUUAUCUCCUCCCUGUUCCCUGGCACUCGGCCCCAAGCUAUCCCCCCACAGAGGCAGCAGUGAGAACUGUGUUGGCAGGUCCUAUGGGGGUGAACACUUUUAUUUCUGUGACUUGCUUUUAUUUUCCUAGUGGUGUUGUUUGAAGGAUAGAUGUUCGUUUUGACAAAGUCCUAUAUGUCUUUUAUAUUUACCCCAACACUUAAUUAUUUUUAAAGUUCUUCAUUUCUUCCUGUACCUCUGAAUUUCCAUCUGGUAUUAUUUUUCUUCAGCCUGAAGAACGUAUUUGAGAAUUUCUUAUAUUGUGUGUUUACUGGCAACAAAUUCUUCCAGCUUUUCUGUUUCUAAAAGUCUCUGUGUUUAUUUAAC
rnacentral:lncRNA from 1 species